UACGGGAGGCAGCAGUGGGGAAUAUUGGACAAUGGGCGCAAGCCUGAUCCAGCCAUGCCGCGUGAGUGAUGAAGGCCUUAGGGUUGUAAAGCUCUUUCACCGAUGAAGAUAAUGACGGUAGUCGGAGAAGAAGCCCCGGCUAACUUCGUGCCAGCAGCCGCGGUAAU
rnacentral:rRNA from 1 species